AUUGAACGCUGGCGGCAGGCCUAACACAUGCAAGUCGAACGAGUGGCGGACGGGUGAGUAAUGUAUGGGAAACUGCCCGACGGAGGGGGAUAACUACUGGAAACGGUAGCUAAUACUGCAAACCAUCGUAUGUGGCCAGAUGGGAGUAGCUAGUAGGUGGGGUAACGGCUAACCUAGGCGACGAGCCCUAGCUGGCCUGAGAGGAUGACCAGCCACACUGGAACUGAGACACGGUCCAGACUCCUACGGGAGGCAGCAGUGGGGAAUCUUGCACAAUGGGCGCAAGCCUGAUGCAGCCAUGCCGCGUGUAUGAAGAAGGUCUUCGGGUUGUAAAGUACUUUUAGCGAGGAGGCGUUACUCGCAGAGGAAGCACCGGCUAACUCCGUGCCAGCAGCCGCGGUAAUAC
rnacentral:rRNA from 1 species